rnacentral:rRNA from 1 species
GAUGAACGCUGGCGGCGUGCCUAAUACAUGCAAGUCGAGCGAACGGACGAGAAGCUUGCUUCUCUGAUGUUAGCGGCGGACGGGUGAGUAACAUGUGGAUAACCUACCUAUAAGACUGGGAUAACUUCGGGAAACCGGAGCUAAUACCGGAUAAUAUUUUGAACCGCAUGGUUCAAAAGUGAAAGACGGUCUUGCUGUCACUUAUAGAUGGAUCCGCGCUGCAUUAGCUAGUUGGUAAGGUAACGGCUUACCAAGGCAACGAUGCAUAGCCGACCUGAGAGGGUGAUCGGCCACACUGGAACUGAGACACGGUCCAGACUCCUACGGGAGGCAGCAGUAGGGAAUCUUCCGCAAUGGGCGAAAGCCUGACGGAGCAACGCCGCGUGAGUGAUGAAGGUCUUCGGAUCGUAAAACUCUGUUAUUAGGGAAGAACAUAUGUGUAAGUAACUGUGCACGUCUUGACGGUACCUAAUCAGAAAGCCACGGCUAACUACGUG